GCCUGGGCGGGAGAGGGGCCAUGUUGCCCUGGUCGGUCAUCCUGCCUCCUGUCUGGUGGGAGGCGGGCCCCGCCCACUGGGUCCGUGCAUUCGCCUCUGCCACGCACCCACCAUUGCGCGCAGAGAGAGCAACCUGCCAGAGUCGGAUUGGGGAUGGCGGAUAACACACCCGCCUGGGCUGGUCUCAGGUACCUCUCCUCCCCCCCUCUCUCUUGUGGGGCCCGUCCGCUCGGGCACCAGCUGGCGUGACGGUGUGGCGUCCAUGCGAAGACGGGACUUGUCCCCGGGAUGUGGGAGCUGGCCGGGUUAGAGAGGUCGCAGGCCCCAGCCUGAGACCCCGGCACCCUCUCGCUCUCCUCUCCGUCUGUCCGCCCGCGGCCACGCGCGCCCUCCUUUCCUCCUUCCCCUGUCAACCGCGACCUCAGAUCAGACGUGGCGACCCGCUGAAUUUAAGCAUAUUUCUCAGCAGAGGAAAAGAAACUAACCAGGAUUCCCUCAGUAAUGGCGAGUGAACAGGGAAGAGCCCAGUGCCGAAUCCCCGCCGCGUGCCGUGUGCGUGAAAUGUGGCGUAAGGAAGACCCACUCCCCGGCAACGCUCGUGGGGGCCCAAGUCCUUCUGAUCAAGGCCGAGCCCUUGGACGGUGUGAGGCCAGUAGCGGGCCCAGGCGUGCCGGGCCCAGAUCUUCCUGGAGUUGGGUUGCUUGGGAAUGCAGCCCAAUGUGGGUGGUAAACUCCAUUUAAGGCCAAAUACCGGCACGAGACCGAAAGCCAACAAGUACAGUAAGGAAAAGUUGAAAAGAACUUUGAAGAGAGUUCAAGAGGGCGUGAAACCGUUAAGAUGUAAACGGGUGUGGUCAGCGCAGUCCGCCCAGAGGAUUCAACCCAGAGAGGGGCGUUCAACUGUGCAGGAUCUGGCAAUGGAAGUGAACAAGGAUGGAAAGACUCAGAAAUCUGACGAUUGCUUUGGCUUUGACACCAGACAUGGAGAUGCAGAUUUUGGAGUUUGCUCAGGUUGAUUUUCAUCUUGUUUCAUCCAGUGUUUUCUUACCAUGACAUUUUGGAAUGAUAAUGUAUAUCCUGCAUGAUAUUGGGGGUAAGUGGUCUUCUUUUUGUUUUUGAUUUUUAAGGGAUUACAGUUUAGAGAUUACCUAAUCUCAGAAGAAACAUUGAACUUUGAACUCCUAACAUUGGAGAAACUCUUAUAGACUAUGGGAACUGUAAAGUUGGAAUAAUGUAUUUUGCAUUGUGCUGUGCCUAUGUAUGACCUCUCUAGAGUCAUGUAUUUGAACUGUCCUAUUGUAACCUGGGAGUAGAAUGUGGUUUGAAUAUAUUUGGCAAAUUGGAAGUGGUACUAUCAUGAGAUGUGGCCUUGUUUGAGGAAAUGUGUCACUGUGGGCAUGGACUUUGAGACACUCUCUCUAGCCAGGUAGGAACCAGUCAUCUCCUGCUUGCCUUUGAAAUAAGAUACCACAAUUUCAACUCCUCCAGGACCAUGAUUUCUGCUUUGAUGAUAAUGGAUUGAACUCCUGAACCUUUAAAGCAAGCCCCAAUUAAAUGCUGUCCUUUAAAAUAUUCACCUAGGUCAUGGUGUCUCUUCACAGUAAUGAAAACCCUAACUAAGACAAUGGUGUAGUAAGUGCUGCUUUCACAAAGAUUAGUUCUCAAAAUGGAGCAACAUGUCCCAUUGGAGGCCUUCAGAGGUUUGUAGUUCAAGACAUUGGAACUACUCGUGGUUUUGUUGAGCAGAAACGGAUAGGAAAAAAAAACAUGACGCAUACUGCUAUCCCUGGAAUUUCAAAACUCUCUCACACAUGUGACUUCAUAUGAUUGAAGCUAAGAUGGAUAUUGGCAUUUCACUGACUUCAGUACUAACUAUAGGGUCUGAAACAGACCUGAAGAAGACCCUUUUAAUAUCUUGUUUUACAGGGAACAAAUACAAAAUAUUAAAAAGUACCCAAGAAUCAAGUAUGGAGAAAGUCUGGUAACAACAGAUCCAGGAGACAUGGGCUAAAUGUUUCUUUAUCUCUUUAACUUUUCAUAAAAACAGUUCACUAUGAGCUGUUGGCUCCUGGAGAAGACUGGCAAGUAUAGUCAGCAAAACUGACUCUAUUGGAUGCUUUACCAUAGAACAUGGGGACUUCAGUUCAAUAAAUGAUUUAUGCCAUUGA